rnacentral:rRNA from 1 species
UAGGGAAUCUUCCACAAUGGGCGAAAGCCUGAUGGAGCAACGCCGCGUGUGUGAUGAAGGGUUUCGGCUCGUAAAACACUGUUGUAAGAGAAGAAUGACAUUGAGAGUAACUGUUCAAAGUGUGACGGUAUCUUACCAGAAAGGAACGGCUAAAUACGUGCCAU